UGACUAGCCAACCUCAGAAACAACUCUCUUUUGAGAAAGAGGUUUUGUGAUAGGGGAUACAUUAGCUAUUUUUUUUGUUUCACCUGGUUACAGAGUUCUCAAGCUGCCUUAAAUAUCAUAGAAGAAAUUUCAGGUUGAAGUUGAUGAUUUUAUUCAGCUUCUUUGAACAUGUCAACAUGGAAAUUGUCCUUGAACACACAGCUCCACAUGCUCACGGGCUGAGGAAGAUGCUGAGAAAUGGAUUCUAUAUGAUAUGCAUCUGCAUAGGAAAACCAUCACUAUAAUUAGCUGGGCACCAAUCUAAUGAAAUUACAAUCUUUUGUGCUCAGCCUGACUCACUGAGGAGGACAGCUGUCUUCAAAGAAGGCCUUCAGGUGACCUGCAGGAAGCCCCUGGUGAAAAUGGAAUGAAAGAGGACAAGGCAUAUGUGGAGCUAAGUGAAAUAGCAGAGUAACCUACGAGUCCUGGAUAGAUAAGGUUUUUUAACUAUUACAUAUGAAUGUUAUUAUUACCAAUUACAACUAUUAAUAACAGUGAUUUCAGCGAUUUCAUUGUAUUAACCAUGAUUUAAUGC
rnacentral:lncRNA from 1 species